rnacentral:rRNA from 1 species
AGCUCCAAUAGCGUAUAUUAAUGUUGUUGCAGUUAAAAAGCUCGUAGUUGAAUUUCUGAUUAAAAUAUUAGCUGGCUUCGGUCGUUAAUAUUUUAAUCAUCCGUUUGAGAACUAUAGCGGUCCUUAAUCGGUCACUAUAGAGAUCAAACAUUUUACUUUGAAAAAAUUAGAGUGUUCAAGGCAGAUAAUCGUCAUGAAUACUAUAGCAUGGAAUAAUGGAAUAGGACUUUGGUUCAUUUUAUUGGUUAUUGAACCUUAGUAAUGAUUAAAAGGGACAGUUGGGGGCAUUAGUAUUUAAUUGUCAGAGGUGAAAUUCUUGGAUUUAUUAAAGACUAACUUAUGCGAAAGCAUUUGCCAAGGAUGUUUUCAUUA